CAGCGGCUGUCCCCGCCCUGAAAACCGAGUUUGGUGUCGAGCCACUCUGGAACAUAUGGAGGCGCCGGAGGACCAGUGGAAGGUGUCAUCCAGAUGACAGCCUCACAAUUCGCAGCCUUUGGGCUCUCCAUCAGAAACCCAUCAGGGGCAAGCCACUUAUGUUUGCCUUCAGACAAGACAACAUUGAAGCAGGAUUCCAGCACAGCCAUCUCCUGCACUUAUGGUCAAGAUGCUCAGACAAUGGGGUCCCUGUUCCUUGUGGUUAACCGUGAA